CAUCGUGAAGGCACAUUGUGUUUCAAUGGCAUCUCAGAUGGUUGGAAAUGUGUAUUUGCAGUUGGACUGACCUUUUACUGGAUUCCUCCAAUCACGCAAUACCAUCAGCGCUAGGAGG